ensembl:lncRNA
CAUUACUUAAUGAUGUAUGGUGCGUUCACAUCGCUGGUAAUUAUGGGGAAAACAUUUUUGCGACGUCGGAAAGUUCGCGUGAACAACACCUCAUGACACCGUUAUGAUUCUACAUCCGUUCGGCAACUCGGGCCAAAUUUUGAUAACAGAGUUGCCCAGUUGGUGACGCAUUGUUUACUAGUGAGUAGUGAGCGCGUGAACAUGGUGGAACAUGAACAUUUUACUCAAUAUAAAAGAAUCAACCAUCAUAUCACAUACCUUACUAUUGAUUGACGUUGAAACGUCUGUUGGCAUGACUUUGCUCAAUUUUAAAUGAACUGUUAAACCAGCUCUAGAUAAAGGCCUAAAUACACCGGCGCCGCAGCGCAGCGGCGCGCAUUUUACGCGCGUCAAAAGCACGCCCCUAGCAGCAACAGGAGGCGGCGCGACGGCGGCGCUGCAGUAUAAAAUCAGGAAGUCGCCUGUCAAUCAACCGCAGCAAAGAGACGGAACGCAAUGGAACAAAUAACUGUUGCCAGACAGAGGGGGGCUGCCCUUCUUAUCCUGCGCUGUAGGUGGGCAAGGAGAAGACAAAGGGUUUGGGUGCACCCCAUCAAUGAACAGAGACAAGAACAGGGGGGUAUGCCACAAUCUGGUCCAGGAGCUCCGUGCAGAUCCUGAGAGGCACGCCAAUAUUUCAAUUCGCCACUAAGUGUGCAAUGGCAGAACCAUAUGGUGCAGCCUAUAUGAUGACCUAUAAUCUAGUUAUUAUCCCUCUCUGGUAUACUCUUUUGCAUGUAUAUAUAUACACUUUUUUUUUAUCCCUCGGGAUAAAUACAGUGAUGUUAUUGAUGUGCUGGAUUCAGUAGCCAGUGUAUUUUAAUUGAGUGCUCGAGACACUUAAUGUUAUUUUUCCUUAAAUCCAGAGAGACAGUUAAUACAUGAUCUGAUACCAGAGAGACAGUUAAUACAUGACAUGCAUUUUUGAGCUUUGCCUGUGUUUUCUUUUACUUAUCUAUUUUAUUGUAUGAGAAUGUUUCUAUGUGAAGCACUUUGAGUCUGCUUCAUGCAUGAAAAGUGCUAUAUCAAUGAAGUUGCCUUGCCUUAAAUAAAAAAUAUAUAUUAC